rnacentral:rRNA from 1 species
CCUACGGGAGGCUGCAGUGGGGAAUCUUCCGCAAUGGGCGAAAGCCUGACGGAGCAACGCCGCGUGAUCGAAUGAAGGCCUCCGGGUUUAAAAGAUCUGUUGACAGGGACGAAUUAGCAAUGCGUAUAGUUUUGUGUAUGACGGUACCUGUUUAGAAAGCUCCGGCAAACAACGUGCCAGCAGCCGCGGUAAUACGUAGGGAGCAAGGUUUAGCCGGAUUUAUUGGGGUAAAGGGGUGCGAAGGCGGGAUGCCAAGUCAGCGGUAAAAAUGCGGUGCUAAACGCCGUCGAGCCGUUGAAACUGGCAUUCUUGAGUGGAGGAGAGGUAUGCGGAAUGCGUGGUGUAGCGGUGAAAUGCGUAGAUAUCACGAAGAACUCCGAUUGCGAAGGCAGCUUACCG